UAUCAGUAGCAGAUCAGUAGCAGAGCAGUAUCAGUAGCAGUAUCAGAUCAGUAGCAGAGCAGUAUCAGAGCAGUAUCAAUAUCAGUAGCAGAUCAGUAGCAGAGCAGUAUCAGUAUCACAGUAUCAGUAUAGCAGUAUCAAUAUCAGUAUCAGAUCAGUAGCAGAGCAGUAUCAGUAUCAGAGCAGUAUCAGAUCAGUAUCAGAGCAGUAUCAAUAUCAGAGCAGUAUCAAUAUCAGAGCAGUAUCAGUAUCAGAGCAGUAUCAGUAUCAGAGCAGUAUCAGUAU
ensembl:lncRNA